rnacentral:rRNA from 1 species
UACGAAGGGGGCUAGCGUUGCUCGGAAUCACCGGGCGUAAAGCGCACGUAGGCGGCUUUUUAAGUCAGAGGUGAAAUCCUGGAGCUCAACUCCAGAACUGCCUUUGAUACUGGAGAGCUUGAGUCCGGGAGAGGUGAGUGGAACUGCGAGUGUAGAGGUGAAAUUCGUAGAUAUUCGCAAGAACACCAGUGGCGAAGGCGGCUCACUGGCCCGGUACUGACGCUGAGGUGCGAAAGCGUGGGGAGCAAACAGG